rnacentral:rRNA from 1 species
UUUUAUUUUGAUAUUAUUUUUUAUUGUUGAAAAAAUUAAUAAUAAUUUAUUGUUAAUAAAAAUUAAAAUUUAUAAUAUUUUUAUUUUUAUUUUUUAGUUUUAAAUAAAAAAAAUAAAAUUUAUAUAUAUAAAAAUUUUGUUAUAAAUUAUAAUAGUUUAUUUAUUUGUUUUUUAUAAUAAAUAAUAGUAUUUUUUUUUAUUAUUUUAUAAAAAAAAAUAAUUUAAUUAUAAUUAUUAAAAGUAAUUUUGUUAUUUAGAAUAAUAUAUUAAUAUAAAUAACAAAAAUAUUAAAUAUUUUUUAAAUUUUUUGGGGAUUUAAGUUAUAAUUUUUUGUGUCUGCUCAGUGAAUUUAAAUAGCACUUUUAGCGUGUG